GACGAACCGAGCGAACGUUGUUCGGAAUCACUGGGCUUAAAGGGCGCGUAGGCGGGCUGUCAAGUCUGGGGUGAAAUCCCGCGGCUCAACCGUGGAACUGCCUCAGAUACUGACGGCCUCGAGGGAGAUAGGGGCGAGCGGAACUAAUGGUGGAGCGGUGAAAUGCGUUGAUAUCAUUAGGAACUCCGGUGGCGAAGGCGGCUCGCUGGAUCUUUUCUGACGCUGAGGCGACGAAAGGCUAGGGGAGCAAACGGG
rnacentral:rRNA from 1 species